AUGCGGUGCGACGGCGAUGAGCGGCUGAUGCUGGGCAUCUACGUUGACGACCUCAUCGUCACUGCGUCAAGUCUGGAGGCCAUUGUUCAGUUCAAACAGCAGAUGAAGUCUGUCUUCUCCAUGAGUGACCUCGGCUUGCUAAGCUACUAUCUCGGCAUCGAAGUGCACCAGGGAGACGAUGCGAUCACCCUCAAGCAGGCGAACUAUGCAGCCAAGAUCGUGGAGAAGGCUGGGCUGACAGACUGCAAUCCUGUGCAUAUCCCGAUGGAGCCGCGCCUGAAACUGAGCAAGGAGAGCACGAACCCGCCGGUGGACAGAAAGCUCUACCGCAGCAUCGUGGGCAACCUUCGUUACUUGGUGCAUUCGCGACCAGACAUCUCCUACGCGGUUGGUUUCGUCAGCAGAUUCAUGGAGGCGCCCACGACAGAGCACUGGGUGGCGGUGAAACAGCUGCUGAGGUAUGCUCCAGGCACCCUGAACUUUGGGUGCAGAUACAAGAGAGGAGAAGCAGAGCCGCGGCUGGUCGGGUACAGUGACGCGGACUUCGCCGGAGAUGUUGAUGACAGGAAGAGCACAUCCGGGACGGUGUUUGUUUUUGGGGGGAGCGUGAUCAGCUGCAGUCCCAGAAGCAGAAGGUGGUCGCUCUCUCAUCCUGUGAAGCCGAGUACAUGGCGGCUACUGUAG
rnacentral:rRNA from 1 species